GUCCGUCUGACAGAAAUAAUGUGAAUGAUUUAGGUUCAUUUUAUGGAGAAAUAUCUUCGACGGUUA
rnacentral:tRNA from 1 species